GAUGAACGCUGGCGGCGUGCCUAAUACAUGGAAGUCGAGCGAGAAUUUUUCAAAUGACACUUCGGUUGAUUUUGGAAAAGGACAGCGGCGGACGGGUGAGUAACGCGUAGGCAACCUACCCCUGACAGAGGGAUAGCCAUUGGAAACGAUGAUUAAAACCUCAUAACGCCAAAGGCACACCUGUUUCAUCGGCCAAAGAUUUAUCGGUCAGGGAUGGGCCUGCGUCUGAUUAACUAGUUGGUGAGGUAACGGCUCACCAAGGUGACGAUCAGUAGCCGACCUGAGAGGGUGAUCGGCCACAUUGGAACUGAGACACGGUCCAAACUUCUACGGAAGGCAGCAGUAGGGUAUCUUGCACAAUGGGCGAAAGCCUGAUGCAGCAACGCCGCGUGAAGGAUGAAGGCCUUCGGGUUGUAAACUUCUGUUCUUAGGGAAGAAGAAAGUGACGGUACCUAAGGAGAAAGCCCCGGCUAACUACGUGCCAGCCGCCGCGGUAA
rnacentral:rRNA from 1 species